rnacentral:rRNA from 1 species
UACGGAGGAUCCAAGCGUUAUCCGGAUUCAUUGGGUUUAAAGGGUGCGUAGGCGGAAUGAUAAGUCAGUGGUGAAAGCCCCUUCGCUUAACGAAGGAAACUGCCAUUGAUACUGUCAAUCUUGAAUACAUUUGAUGUGGGCGGAAUGUGUCAUGUAGCGGUGAAAUGCUUAGAUAUGACACAGAACACCGAUUGCGAAGGCAGCUCACAAAAACUGUUAUUGACGCUGAGGCAACGAAAGCGUGGGUAUCAAACAGGA